UGGCGCACGGGUGAGUAACACGUGAAUAAUCUACCUCCGAGUGGGGAAUAACUGAGAGAAAUCUUAGCUAAUACCGCAUAAUACCCACGGGUCAAAGCAGCAAUGCGCUUGGAGAGGAGUUCGCGGCCGAUUAGUUAGUUGGCGGGGUAAUGGCCCACCAAGACGAUGAUCGGUAUCCGGCCUGAGAGGGCGCACGGACACACUGGAACUGAAACACGGUCCAG
rnacentral:rRNA from 1 species